AAGAAAGAUUCUACUAAAGGUUUCAUUCAUGCAAACGGAAUAAAGAAAUUAAAUCACAUCAAAUCUGCACAUUUCAGAGCCGCUCUGCGUCCUUGACUGGAUCCUCUGAGUUUACAAUCCUCUUUUCAUCCCGUCAGCUCCUCUUCAUCACAAGUACAGCUGAAGAGGGCUCCACCGUUCCGCUCUGCAGGGGCCAACAGCAGCAGUUCACCAUCCCGAGGUCCAGUCUGGCAGGGAUCCUGUGAUCUUCCCGUUGUGAAACUCUCCGAGCGUUCCUCGGAUCAGCGACGGAACAUCACAUCAUCUCCUCCAGGAGCAGCUUCUGCCUCUAAUCCCAAACAACGGUUUCUAAGCAACCUGCAGGAGGAUUUGCAUCGUUCAGCUCUUUUACUCAGAUAUGGUUUCUUUUGCAAAGUCUCUCCUCUUAAAUAUGGAGUUUCACUGGACUUGGGUCAAAGCCCCACACCGUGUUGAUGGAUCAGGAAACUGACAUAGUCUGGGGAAGGAGUUUAACCCAGGACAUGCAGAAUCAACACACUCACAGGUAAUAAAGAUCAAAAAAUAGUAUUUAUUAAUAGACGGGAACAAAAAGCGCACUGGAGCUUCCAGUGGAUGGAGUAAAGCCCGUACUCAGCGUCUGAGGAGGGGAGGGCAAAAUAAGGUGAGUCCUGAGAAGUAAGUCUUAACUGAGGAGGUGCAGAGAUAAGACUUACUGGGCAAAGGAGAUGAGGAGAAAUAGGGAGGGGCAGGUCGAGAGUUGGGUGAGUCGAGGUGUGUAAAUCCAGGAGAGGGAGCGUGUGGGAAGCAGAGGAGAGAGGGGAACUGGAGAGAUGGAGAACACUGGGAAGCUGCGUCCAGACAGUUAUGUGGCAAAGGUGAGUUUCCUGAUGAGUCACUGAAUCCUGAUAAGGCUCUACUCCAGAGAUGUUCCAAAAAAUCCUGAAGAAGACGUAAGCACAAAAAUCCACAGAGAAUAAUAAGCCAAAACACAAGAGGUACAAAGUCACUGCAACACUAGACCGAGUAGUAGUAAUCAUCCCGCGUCGAGGUGUGUUCUCCAACUCCUUAAGAAGCCAGUGCCGUUGAUUGCUAACCAGAAGCAGCUGGGCGCCUCCCUCUCCUGAAAAACAACUCAAAGAUGGAAUGUGCGACCGCGACGGGAGUACUCACCCCGACUCAUGACACUGUCAGGACUCCCAGGCUGACACCCUCCUCUGCCUCUGCUGCCUCCUCAAUCAAGCCCUCAGCCACUUAAUUACCAUCACCUGCACCCUGCCACCAGCUCAUCACACACACCUGCUUCCACAGCCAGCCACCAGUUCCCUGCCAGAUUAUUGAACGCUCUUUGUCAGUAGAUCUUCCAGCCUUUCACCUUGCCUGAUCACGGCCUCCGGACCUCGUUUUCACGCCUGACCCCUGCCUAGGACUCUGCCUGCCAUCACGACCCUCGCCCGUCUUUGACCUCUUCUCUAGCCUGCUCCGUUUACCUGCGUCGCCUCCUUCUGGUUUUUGACCCACGCCUCCUCUCCGACGCUGUCUCCAGCCUCGCCCUCCUCUGGUAAACGCCACGUGUGAUAAAGACUUUUAAAGGAUUUUUACUGUGUUUGGUGUCAUCACGGGUCCUCCAAGUUCUGGUCGUGACAGAAACAUGUCAGUCUUCACAGCUACGCUGAUGACAUACCUGUAUUCUUGUGUCUGCUGACAAACUAAUCAGACUUCUUACAUUUCACAGCUGAUUUUUAGCCUUAAGGAAAUAGAAUUCUUUGUUUUUAUUAACAUGUUUUUAAGUUGGCCUGUAAUUGCGUUUUAUCUCCCUUUCUGCUGAUUUAGUUGGAUUAUUUUUUUAUUUCCCGCAGAAGUGGGCGUUACAUCUGUGUGAGGAGUGUUUUAUAAAUAAAGCCUGAUGGAAGAAUUAGUGGGAAUCUGGAUGCUGGGGAGAAAAAUGAACUGGAUCAGGAGUUUGGACAGAGCUGAAGGAACCAGUCUAAAGACAUCAAAACGGAGCUGCGCUCGGGGACUGUUUGGUAUUCUCUCUACGUCUCGUUUUGUGCUGCAGUAAAACAUCAAAGGAAUUGUUCAGAUGUUUUAAAUGUGUUUCUGUUGUAAAAGUUUUGAACAACCAGCCUCUGAUUGUUGUUGACAGAACAGCCUCAGUUUGGAGAAACAGAGAUUAGUUUUAAUUGGGUAAAAAAAGUGACUAAAAAUGGAUCCAGUCUCUAAAAUAUCACGAGAGUUCAUGCAAAUUCUGUCCUACAAUCUCCAAACUGUUAUAAAUGUGAUAUUUCAUAAUUAUUCCAGCCAAAUUAUUUUGAAACUCCAUCUAGAGGUUUUGCUGUUGCUCCACAGCUAAAUUAAGCUGCAAAUAACCUCAGAAAUCAAUGUUAAAAACAUGGAAAUGUAUGCUUUAAACAUUUAUAAAAUUACAUUUAAAUCAUUUAUAAUGAAGUUUUUAUGAUAGGAGCAGCAGGUGGAGACACUAAUCUCUGUAUCUCCAAACUGAGGCUGUUCAGAGGGCCAUUUGCAUAAUUUUACUAUUAAAUAAAACAUAAAAAAUAAAUAAAAGCAAGUGAGGAGUUAUUCUGUCUUUAUUUUUAAAACAUUUGAUUUUGUUUAUAAUGACAGGAAAAGAACUAUUAACCCAACCAUAUAUUUACUUCAUAAAAAGAAGAAUUUAUCCUGAAUUCGGACACUUUAAUUGAAUUAUUUUGAAGAAUUUUUAAAAUUGAUUU